UACGGAGGAUGCGAGCGUUAUCCGGAUUUAUUGGGUUUAAAGGGAGCGCAGGCGGGCGAUUAAGUCAGUUGUGAAAUGCCACGGCUCAACCGUGGACUUGCAGUUGAUACUGGUUGCCUUGAGUGCGGCAGAGGCAGGCGGAAUUCGUGGUGUAGCGGUGAAAUGCUUAGAUAUCACGAAGAACUCCGAUUGCGAAGGCAGCUUGCUGGACCGUUACUGACGCUGAGGCUCGAAAGUGCGGGUAUCAAACAGG
rnacentral:rRNA from 1 species